UACGUAGGGUGCGAGCGUUGUCCGGAAUUACUGGGCGUAAAGAGCUCGUAGGUGGUUUGUCGCGUUGUUCGUGAAAACUCACAGCUCAACUGUGGGCGUGCGGGCGAUACGGGCAGACUGGAGUACUGCAGGGGAGACUGGAAUUCCUGGUGUAGCGGUGGAAUGCGCAGAUAUCAGGAGGAACACCGGUGGCGAAGGCAGCACUCUGGGACGUGACUGACGCUGAGACGCGAAAGCGUGGGGAGCAAACAGG
rnacentral:rRNA from 1 species